AGGAGCCUAAAGUGCCAUCCAACAAUAAUUCACGUCCCUUCAAUGACGACCUUCCGAAGCCAGUGACUGAGACACGCAUAUAAAACAAAAAACAAUCAACCAACAAACACAAGAGAAUUUAACAAAAACAAAAUUAAUAAUAUAUUGCUUACCGUCCCACACAGACCUCAACCCUUCUCCCCACUAAAAAAAUCUAAAAAAAAAAGCCUAGAACACAAUACAGUACAUCUCACAACGUCUUUAGUAACUUAUCUCACACUCAAUUCUCCUCAAAAUAAAUAAAAAAAAUUAAAAUAAAUCACACUCGAUAUUAAUUGCUAAUUAACAUGAGUGGAUUUCCAUUCUAAAAAACAAAAGACCUACAAUAAAAGCAAUCGUGUGUGUGCACUAAUGUCGUUUUUUCAUAAAAUUUUUGCAAUAAAUAAAAUAUUGAAUUGCUCUGCAAAAUUGACCAUAGAAAGUAGAAUAAGAGAUGAUAAAAAACUAACCACUAUAACCUAAAUUCUCCUCGUUGAUAAGCCACAAACAAAGCACCAAACCUUUGCCUCAACGAACAAUUAGUUUAUCCAUGUGGCUUAACUACAUUAAUCGUAUAUUCAAUGCUAUAGAUCUAACAAAUUCUAAAAAAAAAAGAAUUAACGCAAUUCCAUAUUAUAUGUUAUAUAGAUCUUUAGAAACUGAGCUAAACCUCUAGUCUGAGGCCGGUAUAGUUUUCAAAUCUUUGGGUUUAGCUAACAACUCAAUCUUUCAGUGAUGGAAUUAUAAUUAAUUCCAUCACUGUACAAGACUAUGGGCUGUUGGAAAUUUUCUCUCAUAAACUCUAAAUAUAAUGAAAUUACCUAGUCUUUAAGUGCAGACUAGAAAGAUUCUUACGUGAGAUGGAGAUUAUUUUUUUUAAAAAUUUUAUGAUGAGACGACGUAAAUUCAUUUAUUUAUUAUUAAAAAAAAAAAAAUAUAUAUAAACCAAAUUAAUGAGCAAAUCUUGAAUACCGUUUCAGUUUUCAGUAAUAUUUUCUCCAAUUAUGAUUUUUUUUAAAUGCAAAAUCCAGGAGCAAGUUGGAUACAAUUUUUCGGACUCCACUAAACUGAGAAACAUGUAGUUCAAAUAUUAAAAAGAAACUAAAUGAAACAGAAACAGUGAAGACAUUAAAAUCCAGAACAAAAUAUGGUUGUACUGAGGACAAUCUCAGCAGAAUUAAAAAAAAAUAUUAUUAGAAAAAAAAACAAAAAAAUAAAUAACUCCGAGUCUCUGGUACAAUCUCAUUCGGACGCAAUUUUGUACAAACAAAAAAAUGUUCUUAAAAGGGAUAUUAAGGAAAAAUUGCAACUUGUAUUAACAAAAUUUUUCAUUUGGGAAUUUUUUCCGAUGGUGAUAGAAAAGAUUUAAAUUGUGGCUAAUGGUACUGGGUAAUCCUAUGCAAAUGAUUCUAUUUUGAAUUCUAUUGAGAUCACUGGAUGUUUUCUAGUGUGUACCACUGCCUGUGGGACUAAUAAUCUUAUGCAAAUAUCCUAUUUGCGAAUCCCAUUUAGAUAACUAGUUAUAGAUUGUAUUCCCAUAUAGAUCAGUAGGAUUUCUUCUGGCCACCACCAUGGGACUGGAAAUCCCAACUAAAUGUCUCUAGUUCGAAUCGCACUUUAUUACUGUGGAAUUAAAAAAUUAUUUCUCAAUAAAAAUAUUAAUUUUCACAAGACAAUUUCCAAAAAAAAUUCACUAAUCCAUUUGAAGAUUUUCCCAAAGAAAACACACACGGCUCUUCGUUAUCCGGCACUUCGUUAUCCGGGUGACAGCUGCCAAACGCUGGCGGUUGAUGUAUUCAAAACGAUUUUUUUUACGAAGCAUGCAGUUUGUCCAGAGUGAAUUAUUGUGCUAUUGUCAUUUUACCAAAGUUUUUGACACACAAUCGUGCUACAAAACGAUACAUAAACACACCACUAAGAACAUUCUGUUGUUUUUCGACAGAAAACAAAUUCCCACAGCAGAAAAUAUUAAAAAAAAAAAACGUUGACCAGAUUCAAAAAACCAAAAUGUCAUUUUGUCCCCACGUCAGCCGGAUAACGAAGAGUCGAGUGUAAUGUAUCACUCAAUAAAAAGUCAUUUUGACAAGACAAACAAAAGUUGCAAAAUUUUCCCAAUAACCCUGAGACACUGAAUUUAUUUUCUUAUUAUUUUUAUUUUGGUUUAAAAUAAUAUGUAAAAUCAGUAUUUUUGUGCAUAAACACUUAAUAUUCCUCAUAUUUUUUUUUAACUUUUUUUUUCAAAGUUCACAAUGUUUAUUUCUUAAGUAUCAUUAAAUGCAUUAAAAUUUGAAACUAAUUUAUUAAAAAAAUAUAUAAUAAAAUAAACAAUGAUGAUGAAAAUAAAAAAUAAGAGGUUAUAUACAAUUUAAUAAAUAAUAAACAUGUUAGAAGUAGGUUUAAAAAGAACAAAAGAAAAACACGGUUAGGAAAAUAUCACUAGACUAUAUUCUAUUAAGGACCAAGAAAAACCUGACAAAUGUAAUCUUUUGCUAAAAGAUGUGAAAUUAAGAGAAAUUAAUUUAAUUUGUACUGUGACUGGAAAAAUUGUCUAAUCAUUUUUUUUUAUUAUUAAUAAGCAUUCUUACAAGUAAAAAUCGAUCUAAUCGUCUAUGGAUAAUUCAGAUGGAAAAAAGAAACAUAAAAAAGUUCGUGUGAUAGAUAUUCUUUAACGGCUUUUCAAAAUUAUAUUUUAAUUUUAUUUUAUUUUGAAAUUUUUUGGAUAAUUUUUCCAGUUGCUGUAUAUAAAAGAAAAAAAAUUACAAGGACGCACUUGACAAUCAACAAAAGUGAAUUUAUUGCAAAGCUACUGUGAGGAAAAUGAAACAAAAACAAAGUUAAAGAAUAUGAAAUUAUCAUUGAAAAUUGAGAUGAUUACGGAGGAUAUUAAAUUGUUUUUUUUUUUGUUCAUUAUUAUUUUAUUUCUCUCAUUAAUAAAAAAGCUGAUAAAACGCAAGCACAAUAAAUGCUUCACAGAUUCGUCAAAUUUUAAUAAACAAUAAAAAAAACUAUAAAAUGUAUUUUGUCAUUAAAAAAAAAAAUGAAACAAGAGAUUUGACUUUAUUUACAUUAUAAUAUAAUCUCAGUAAGAGAAAUUGUUUCAAAAAAAAUUUACAUUGAUUAAAAGAAGAACACUUAACUUUCAAACUGUGAUACUUAUUUUCCCUCAAAAAGUGGUACCCAAUUUUCUCAACCAAGAAAAAUCCUAAAUAGCAAUUUUCCUCUCAACUCUAUUUAUUGUUUUUUUCCUCUAUGAAUAUUAUGUAUUUUUAUUUUGUUGAGAUACAUACUUAUGUAGUUGUAGUAGAAUUUUGAAAAAUUGAUUUGAUGAUAUCCAAAAUAAAAAAUAAAAGGUAUACCAUAAUAGUAAUACAGAAAAUAGUAAUAUAGAAAAUAGUAAUACAGCUAAUUAAGCUGCAAAGAAAAUAAGAAUAGAGGGUGUACUAAAAGUAAAGGCCUUUAGUGAUGUGAUUUUGGUAUUUAAAUGUAACUUCUGUUAGAAAGAUUUUAGGUCGUUCAAUGAUUUUUAUCAAAGCAAUUGAAAUUUUCACGGAAAUUUUCAGGAGAGUGUGACAUUUCCUACAUUUUGCACAUGUUUCCGCCAUACGGUAUAAAAAAGAAAAUCUUUUGAGUUUAUUGGCUCUUUUCCUUUUGACUGUAGUUUUUUUUUUAUUAAAAGAAUUUUGCACAAUGGGGUUGAAGAAAUAUUAGUAUUCUUUAGGAAUGAUAAUAGGAGCCGCCACUUAUCGACAACAAAAUGACUAGUACCUUUUGUAGUCCUUGAAACGUUUUAAAAUCAUAAAAUCGUCGCAACAGUAAUGUUCCUCAAAUAUGAAAAAGGGUUGCUUUUAAAAUGUAAAAUUUGUUUUUUUUUUCAUUUCUAUUUUUUUCUUAAUAAAAAGCUUAUUUUCAUUAAUUUUAAUUUUAAUUAAUUUUAAUAGUAUUUUUAAUUGAAUUAUUAGAUUCCAAGGUGUAUAUUUGUAUAGACAAGAUAGCUUCUUCUAAAUGAUUGAAGGGCUUACAAUGAAAAAAAAAUAUAUAUAUCCGAAUUUUAUCAUGAGAUCGCUAUGUCAACCUCUUUACAUUUGAGGAACCUGACUGUACCUUUUCCCCAAGGGUUGAGUAAUUUAUUAAAAAUAUCCCAAAGGAAUAGUAUCAAUCGCGUAAACAUAGCAAAUUGUGUCUUGAAGCUUAAAAAAGAAAAAACACUGACUUAAUAAUAGUUGAAGUCACCUUAGCAUUCAAAUAUCUUUCUUUUUCUUAUACUCUUUCUCAUUCAUUGAACUGUAUUUUAUAUUAAUUUACUAUGUAGCAUAGGCAAUAAUUUUAGAAGACUUUUAGAACUACAAGGUAGAAAAUUUCUAAUAAAAAAAUUGUAUUUCCUUAGUUAAAUAUCCCCGUUUCUCGCGUCACUCUUUUAUUAACUUUAUUUUCUAAUUUCAUUUUCACUUCAUAACACUUUCUUUAGGAUUUUUAGUGCGUGUAUGUGUGAGUGGUAAUUGCAAUGAAAAAAGUUUCAUUUUUUGUUUUUAUCUUCUCUAAAUUUUUGAAAGAAAAACACUUUAAAAAAUCAGUGCUUUAAAAAAAAGCUCCCAAUGAUAAAAUAAAGUGUAAUGUACACAAUGAAAAAUAUAAAAAAAUACAACUAGUAAUUUAGGAAGAAUUAAAAAAAAUAAUAAUAAUAAUUUAAAAAAAAAUGAAAUGAAAUUGGGAGAAAAGUGAUUGUUGGAUGUUGUGUAAUUGUGUAUUAUAAGUGUCUAUGGGGUUCUUUUUUCAUUAUUACUUCUUUCUCUUUUUUUCUCUUUUUUUUUUCUCCAAAUCUAGGUGAUAGGUGGUGAGUUGCAAGAGCGAUUGAUCCCGGUACCCUACAGCAAGAGCUCCACUGAUCAAGCUAUUCGUGUGGUGAAUGCCUUUAGGCAGGGCCUGGAUGCACGCUACGGCGAGCAUCAUGCUAAUACAACAUUGGCUGAAGUACUGAGGAAACAGACGUCACUAAGUAAACGCCUGUCCCAGACAUCGUCAAUUGAGUAUGCUGACAACAUACCGGACGAACUAACUAUCCCAGAAAUUGAUGUUGAACGCCUUUCGUCACAUAGUCACACAGAGACAGCUGUCUAAGGUAACAUCAUGAGCAUAAACUGAACAUUAAUGUUGUAAUUGUGGCAUCAUAAUUGACAAAAAAUUUUUUUAGAUUGAUGAUGAUGAAAAAAGCACACCGUUUGUUUGUUGUUAUUUAGUUAUUAAAAAAAAAUUGAUAAAAAAAACAUUAAGAAAAGAACAAUAAAACAAUUAAAUAUUUGAAGAUGUUGAAGAAAAAGAAAUGUGGUAAUUAUAAAAAAAAGAAAUACUAAAAAAAAAUCUCUUUUGUUGUGUGAAUAAUCUCAGCCCCAAAGAGACAUAGAAAACAUAAAAAUAUCUGACUUAGAAAAAGCGUCACUGGUUCAUAGAAAUUUCCAUGAGAAUAUUUAAGAAUUUUUCACUGUAUGUUGCCAGACAUUGUUCACAAAAUUGAUUUAAGAAGUGCCUUUUAUCUACAUUUACAGUAUCUACAUUUUAACAUCACUGGAAAUUUUCGUUAAAUUAAACUCUUAAACAGGCUUUAGACCUAAUACCAUAGACACCACCUAGGCAGCCUUUGAAUAUUUUAUUUUUUAUCUUAUUUCUCAAAGCGAAAAUUCUAUUUUGUGAACUAUUGUUAAUACCAUUAAUUACUUUCUAUUAACUUCGAUUAAAAUGAAAUUUUAGCUUUGUGAAAUAAGAGAAAAAUAUGAAGCUUUCAAAGGUAGGCCACUUUCCUCUAAUUACUUCUAACUCUGAUUUAAACGAAAAUAAAUCGAGUUUUCAUGGAAAUUUUCCUAAAAAAUUUCCCUGGAAAUAGGCAAAUUUUUCGACUACUUUCCAGGAUAAUUAAAACGGAAGUUUAGAUUAAAAUUUAAAUCUGGCAUUUAAUUUACAGAAAAAAAUAUUUUUUCUCAAUUUUCUUAUUUAGGGCAAAGUGGUCUGCUUUUGAAUGCGGCAGCAUUUUUGAAUGUUUUAAUUUUUCUCUUUAUUUCUUAAAACGAAAAUUCUAUUUUGUGAACCUAUAGUUGAUACCAUUAAUUACUUUCUAUUAACUUCGAAUAAUAAAAUGGAAUUUUAUGGCUCGGGCAGAAUUUUUGGAUUAGGAAAAUUUCAUGAAGUUGAAAAUCAUUUCUUUCUCACAUGUUUUGCAUAUGACUAUCUCAUUCUUUCGCAUACCACAUUUGAUUGAGCUAAAUUGAAUUUGGAGUGAUGUUUAAGAGAAGAAGAAGAGUGCGAGAGAAUGAGAUAUACAUUAUGCAAAACAUGUGAAAAAGAAAGGGAUCCAAAAUUCGACUUCAUGAAAUUUUCCUGAUCUAAAAAGUGUGCCGGAGCCAUUAGCUUUGUGAAAUAAGAGAAAAAUUGAAGUAUUCAAAGGCAGGCUACUUUCCCUCAUUGCUGGAUAAUAGUUUUCUAUGUCCCUUUUAUCUGGAUUAACCCUUUUCAGGUGGCGGAGAAAGAAAAAGAGAAAGAGAGAGAGAGAAAUAAUAAUUUUAAAUUAUAGUAUUUGAAAUGAGUACCAAAAACAAAAAAAAUGAAUAAUAAAAUAAAAGAAAUGUAAUGUGUAAGUAAUUUUACCAAAGAACCCAGAGACAAUUGAAUUUCAUUUUUAUUUAUUUAUUUAUUUUGUGUUUACAAAAGUUUACUAAGUAUUGCGAAUUCAUUGAGGAUAAUGAUAAAUUCCAAAAAAAAAAAGAAUACAUAUAUUACAAAACAAAAUUAACAAAUAAGUAAAUAAAUAAAUACUCGUAAUGGUAUAGAGUUGUUUUUCGCCUAGCAAUAAUAUUUUCAAAUCGAAAAUACAAUAAAAAAAGUCGUUAGGAUUAUUAUAUUUUUAUUUUGUUUUUCAAUUUUUUUCUUGGAGAUUACCAAAUUAGAAUAUUGAGUUUAAAUAGGUGCCUAAAUAGAUGUUUUACCCAUUAAUUCAAUUUGGAUUUUUGAUGGUGAAACUCAAGAAGUUAUUAAAAAAAAAGAAAAAAGCUAUUUGUAAAUAUAUUGCGUUAUCUCUCUCUCGCAAUAAGUUAACAAGAUACAAAAAUUAAAUUAAAAAAAACUGAAUUAGGAAAAUUGAAACAAAUCCUUCACAAAAAAAUAUAAAAAGCGCAAAUCAAUUUGAAAAAAGGAUUGUAAGUGAAUUUAAAAUUAUGAAAAAAAAAUAAAUUUAAAAUAAAUAAAUCGUUGCAAAACAAAAGAAACUACAAAAGACGAAAAUUUUGUCACACUCUCUGUGUUUCUCAAAAUAAUAAAUUAAAGGAAGAAAAAAUAAAUAAAUGAAGACAAAAAACAAAUGUAUAUUUAGUGGUAUAAAAAACGAUACACAGGUAGAAAACGAUGAUAAAAAAAGAAAACUAUAGAAAAUAGUUAAAACUAAAAAUAGACGUUUAACAAAAUAUGAAUAAUGUAAUAGAUCACUGCGAAAUUCCCACACAAAAUAACAAAGAAGAAAAAAUAAAAAUAACAAAUAAAAAUACAGAAAUAUUCUAGUUAGAAUGUAAAAAAAAAUAAUAAUAAUCUCGCAAAUCUCGAAUGGAUUAGUUUAACACAUGAUGAAGCGUAUAAUUUUCAUGAGAAAAUUAGUGGGAAAAUGAUAUUUAAAUCAAUUUGAGUAAUUAAAAAUCAGUCACUUUUCUCCAUUCGCAAAAACAAGCAAACAAACCAAAAACCUAAAAUGAGUGAAUCCCACCAAAAAUCAAUUUCAAAAUUAUCAAAAAAAAACAUACAUAGAUCAUUUAGUGCCAAAAUCUUAGCAAAGCAACAAGUUAAAAAAAAAAACAAGAAACAAAUAUAAAAAUAUAGUCAUAAAAGACCCAAAGUGUGACCCAAAAAGUGGCCUCCUCAAAUUGAUUUGCCAGUUUCAUCGAGAUCAGAGAAGUGCAGGAUAGAUAAUAAUGAAUAUUAAAAAAAAAAAACAGAAGGAGCAUAUUUUAAAAUUUGUUAAUCACAUUAAUUAUAAAACAAAAGAUGAAAAUUAGAUAAUGAGAAGGAGAAAACAAAUAUUACGAUAAGUAUAUUAUUGAAAUAAAAACAUAUAAAAACAAA